UAUAUGGUAGGUCCUUCACAAAAAAUAAUAAUUUUGGACACUGGCUGACUGGUAGCGGCCUCCUAUUAUUAAUCGAUUACGACCAAUUGAGAUGGUCAUAACGUCAUCGAAGCCUAUACUUCGUUCUGAUUGGUCUAUAAACAUAUCACACAGAUCAAGCAUUAGAGACCAUCGGAUACUGCCAGAUCCAACGACCCACAACCCCACCAACCGCAAGUUACCCCUAGGAAAACCACCAGGACC
rnacentral:lncRNA from 1 species